GGUAGUAUGGCCGAGGCCAGGUGGUGGGUUGUAGCCCCGCAGACAGAGUAAUCUCUUGCUAUCA
rnacentral:tRNA from 1 species